rnacentral:rRNA from 1 species
GAUGAACGCUGGCGGCGUGCCUAAUACAUGCCAGUCGAGCGAACGGACGAGAAGCUUGCUUCUCUGAUGUUAGCGGCGGACGGGUGAGUAACACGUGGAUAACCUACCUAUAAGACUGGGAUAACUUCGGGAAACCGGAGCUAAUACCGGAUAAUAUUUUGAACCGCAUGGUUCAAAAGUGAAAGACGGUCUUGCUGUCACUUAUAGAUGGAUCCGCGCUGCAUUAGCUAGUUGGUAAGGUAACGGCUUACCAAGGCAACGAUGCAUAGCCGACCUGAGAGGGUGAUCGGCCACACUGGAACUGAGACACGGUCCAGACGCCUACGGGAGGCAGCAGUAGGGAAUCUUCCGCAAUGGGCGAAAGCCUGACGGAGCAACGCCGCGUGAGUGAUGAAGGUCUUCGGAUCGUAAAACUCUGUUAUUAGGGAAGAACAUAUGUGUAAGUAACUGUGCACAUCUUGACGGUACCUAAUCAGAAAGCCACGGCUAACUACGUG